GAUGAACGCUGGCGGCGUGCUUAACACAUGCAAGUCGAACGAGAAAUGGAGAUGGAAACCUUCGGGCGGAAGCCUUCAUUUCGAGUGGCGGACGGGUGAGUAACGCGUGGGUAACCUGCCUCAUACAGGGGGAUAACAGUUGGAAACGACUGUUAAUACCGCAUAAGACCACAGCACCGCAUGGUGCGGGGGUAAAAACUCCGGUGGUAUGAGAUGGACCCGCGUUCGAUUAGCCAGUUGGCGGGGUAACGGCCCACCAAAGCGACGAUCGAUAGCCGAUCUGAGAGGAUGACCGGCCACAUUGGGACUGAGUACACGGCCCAAACUCCUACGGGAGGCAGCAGUGGGGAAUAUUGCACAAUGGGGGAAACCCUGAUGCAGCGACGCCGCGUGAGUGAAGAACGUACUUCGGUAUGUAAAGCUCUAUCAGCAGGGAAGA
rnacentral:rRNA from 1 species